CUGGGUUUAAUUUAGUGUGGUGAAUAAAUUCACGUGUUUCUUGAGUACUGCAAUGAACACAACGUCGAAUAGUAGGCCUUGUGCUUUUGGGCCGAAUUCUUGUCGUUCCUAAGCCCAAUAGUGUGUUGUCGAUGCGGCCCAGUACAGAUUUGCGUCUGUCGGUGCAUAGUGCGUCAUUUACGUUGCCCAGGAGGCAUAUCGAGCAUUGAGACCAUUCUUUGGAGGUGGUAGGGUUGAGUUGUGUACCCUAGGGUAACUCGGUCUUGAGGCGUGCGCAUCCUUCCAUCCCCUGAGGGUUGCGCAGCCAAUAGUGUUCGUCCAGGAACGUUCCGUCUUCGGCUACUCUGGUU